rnacentral:rRNA from 1 species
UCAGAACGAACGCUGGCGGCGUGCUUAACACAUGCAAGUCGAACGCGAAAGGGACUUCGGUCCUGAGUAAAGUGGCGCACGGGUGAGUAACGCGUAGAUAACCUGUCUUCAUGUCUGGAAUAAUACGCCGAAAGGGGUACUAAUACCGGAUAUUCUUGCUUUUCAUAAGUUAUGCAAGCAAAGGUGGCCUCUGCAUAUGCUACUGCAUGAAGAGGGGUCUGCGUACCAUUAGCUAGUAGGUGGGGUAAUGGCCUACCUAGGCGACGAUGGUUAGCGGGUCUGAGAAGAUGAUCCGCCACACUGGCACUGGAACACGGGCCAGACUCCUACGGGAGGCAGCAGUGAGGAAUAUUGCGCAAUGGGGGAAACCCUGACGCAGCGACGCCGCGUGAGUGAGGAAGGCCUUCGGGUCGUAAAGCUCUGUCAAGAGGAAAGAAGUGUACAAUGGCUAAUACCUGUUGUAUUUGACGGUACCUCUAAAGGAAGCACCGGCUAACUCCGUGCCAGCCGCGGC